rnacentral:tRNA from 1 species
UGCGGGAUCAUCUAGCGGUAGGAUGCGACACUCUGAAUGUCGUCACCGGGGUUCGAAUCCCUGUCCCGCAG